rnacentral:rRNA from 1 species
CACGGGGGGAGCAAGCGUUGUUCGGAAUCACUGGGCGUAAAGGGCGUGUAGGCGGUCAGGUAAGUGGAAUGUGAAAGCCCUCGGCUCACCCGAGGAUCUGCAUUCCAAACUGCCUGGCUUGAGUAUGGGAGAGGAUGAGGGAAUUCCUGGUGUAGCGGUGAAAUGCGUAGAUAUCUGGAGGAACACCGGUGGCGAAGGCGGCGUUCUGGACUGCUACUGACACUGAGGAACGAAAGCCAGGGGAGCAAACGGG